GGCCUAAUGGCCCAAUGGCAAGGCGCUUGACUACGAUUCCAUCGGUAUCAAGAGAUUCCAGGUUCGACCCCUGGUUAGGUCA
rnacentral:tRNA from 1 species